rnacentral:lncRNA from 1 species
CUGUUGUCCCGUGAUUCAAAGUCACGCUCGCUGUCUCUCAACAUCUCUUUCUCUCGCUCAAUCCUCGAGCGACUACGGCUCCUCCUUGACCUCUCCCUCUCUCUAUCUUUCUCCUUCUCUCGCUCCUUAUCUCUAUCUCUAUCCCGAUCUCUACUCUUCCUAUCUCUAUCACGUUCCUUCUCCUUCUCCCUGUCUCUAUCCCUCUCUUUCUCUUUCUCUUUCUCUUUCUCCUUUUCCCUUCUCUCUCUGUCACGGUCUUUUGAGCUUCUCUCUUUGUCUCUCUCAGAUUCCCGUUCCCUACUCCGAUGCCUCGAUGACCUUUCCCUAUCUCUCUCCUUAUCCUUCUCUCUGAUACUUUCGCCGUCGCCGCGAGACUUUUUGCUGCUCCGGCGCUCUCUAUUGUCGUCAUCGGCGUAUUCCUCACUUCCGUCUCUCUCCCUUCGACGAUAGCCUUUCUCGCUCUUCUCCUUCUCGGCGCUGCUGUUAUUGUCUUUGUCUUUGCUCUUCGUAGAAGUGCCGUUAGUCUCUUCCACAGUCUUCUCCAGAUAAUCGUACUCGUCGAAGUCCAUUUGCGAUGAUGCUCUCUGCCGGUUGGCCGAUGGUCGGUGUUCCGCCGGUGUACUGGUUAGCUUUGACGGAACCCUAGGCCGUAGCGAACUUUGAGAUUAGGGUUUUUGCAACUGGUUCGAAGCUGAGAGGCUAUCAGGUCAGUUUUUCAGUAGUACUUUGUAUAUGAGGAUAUUUUCAAGUUUUAAUAUACUAGUAAUUUUUAACUCAAAUGGUCCCUCAAAUCUUAAGAUUGCUCUAUUUAUGUCCUCCUUGUAUAAUACAUUGCCAAGAAAGUCCUUCAUGUAUAUAAAACGGGGAAAAGGGUUAAAUAUGUCCCUAAACUAUUCGAAAAUGUUUAGAUAUACCCCGUUUGAAGUUUGGAUCACUUGUGCCCUCGCCGUCCAACUUUUCGCAUAGAUAUGCCCUUAUAGACGUUAGUUGGUUUACUGGAAAUAUCCAGCUCAUUUUCCUUUUCUUUAAAUGACAAAUGGAAUUGCCACGUCCUUUUUAAAUUACCACAUGAAAUUUAUAUUAAAAAUAACUACAUUAAUACACCUCUUUUAAAUAACCUAUUCGACUCGAAUAUCAACCCAUUUAACCCGUUCAUAUAUCAUAUCCGACCCAAAAACCAUCAUUUUUAACCCAUUAUCAAAGCCCUAAUUUGUUGCAAACUUCUCCAUUUCCAUCAAAAAAAAGCUUGUGGCGCUAGGAUUUACAGCUUGAAAGUAAGUCUUUUAUAUUCAGUAAAUUAUAUAAGUUUUGUUUUCCUGAAGGUACUGAUUUAUUCUCAUAUAUUCGAUUUUGUUACAUUUUCGUGUUAUGUUAGGGUUAUCUAAAUAAAGUCGACCUAGUGAGGCAUCUGUUGUAUUUGAUUUGUGUCUACCAAAAUCACAUAAAAUCUAUUGUUUAAUGUUAAAGGAUGUACUUUUUAUGCCUUUGUAAGCUUUGUUUUGUUUGUCUUUUGGUGGUCUCAGAUGAUGUUUGUCUUUUAGGGUUUAGUCUAUUAUAUUUUUGUAGCUUUUAAUGUGUUUGGUUUGAUGUUGUCCCUCUAAUUUUACUGUUUCUUUCAUGUAUUUUUGAAGGAUGAUUGAUGAAGCUGAAAUUGUGUUCAACUACUAGGUCCCUAAAAUUCACUAGUGGGCUCCUUUCAUCCACUAGGUCCCUAGAAUUCAGUCAGAUUCUUGAUUCGUUAUAUCUUGCUUAGAUAUUGGUUGUGAUUCAGCUAUUAUAAUAUUCGUAAUCAAUUUAUCAUGUUUUCGUGAAAUCAUUGCUUAGUUCUUUGCUUGAAACUUAGAACCCUAGUUGUGUAGAUUCUCUUGAUUCAUGAAUUACACUUGGUAUGUCAGUUAAACAUAUAAACAUGCUCCAGUAUCCGAAUGUUACAUUGUCAGUUCCUAAAUGUUGCAUUCUUAGAUUUUCAUGUCAGAACAUUGAGCUAUCCAGUAUUUCAGUUAUGUUAUGUCAUACAUAUUUCCAGUUGGGAGUAGGCUUAGCACCGAGUUGGACUAGGGUUCAGCGUACUCUCAUAGUCUUAGAACUACGUGCCUCCGUAGGUUUAUAAGUCCCCUCUGUGGGCAUCAGAUUUAAUGAUCAUGUCAGUCAUGCCUUUAUACCCCUGGCAAAGUAUAUUGGGUCCUCUCGAUGAGGCGUAUACAUCGGACUCCACGUUUAGCUCACGUGGUUUUAUGUCGGUUAAUAGUAGCUCCCUCAGUUAGACUCUCAGUGCAUUUGACUAGGUUUUCAACAUGUUAUUCUCAUGAUUAGUACUUGGUCAUUACAUUCAGCUUGGUUUUUCAGUUAUGUUUCAGUGUUUACAUUCUUGCUUAGUUAUGCUUUGUUCAACUUAUAUAUAUUUGUUCAGCUUAGUAUAUAUAUCUUGCAUGCUAGUACAUUCCAAGUACUGACACAUACUUUAUGCUACAUCCUUUCAUGAUGUAGGUUUAAGUAUUCAGCAUCCAGAUCACACUUAGAUCGACUAUCGAUCCGCAUUUCAGCAGCUUCAGUGGUGAGUCCUCAUACUUCGAGGACAAUAAACAUGUUUUUCACUUUAGUCUUUUUAUUCAGUUUUCAGUUUUGUUAGAGUUAGUUGGGGGGCAUGUCCCAGCAACUUAACUCAGUUAGAGAUUUUUCAAACAUAGUAAUAGAAUUAGCUUGAAUUGUUAAGUUCAUCUUUCAGUUGUUAUUAAACUCUUAGUAUGAUUUAUACAUUCAAACUAGUUGGGUAUUCCCCACUUUCAGUUAUCCAUUGUUUUAGCUUCCGCAUAGUACAUAUUUUAUUCAGUUAUUCUCAGUAUGCUUGAUAUAUGCGAGACACAGGGUUAGGCUUGGGGUCACUCGUGAUACGUCAAGAGGGUAGCCUCGGGGCGUGACAUUUUGUUUGUCUUUUAGUAGUCUCAAAUGAUGUUUGUCUUUUAGGGUUUAGCUUAUUAUAUUUUUGUAGAUUUUAAUGUGUACGGUUUGACGUGGUCCCUCUGAUUUUACUGUUUCUUUCAUGAAUUUUGAAGGAUGAUUGAUGAAGUUGAAAUUGUGUUCAACUACGGGGGUAGUUGGGUCAUUUCACCUCAGUUGGUUUACACUAAGAAAUUGGUGCACUCUUGGCUUAAUUUUAACCCUGAAUUAUUGAGUCAUAAAGAUAUAUGUGAUGAGUUUACUUCCAAGCUAGGGCUUUCUCGGGUUAAACAAUUGUUAGUGGGCCCUCUGAUAAGUAUUAUAUAGUAGAUGGGGAUAAUGGAACUAGGGUCAUCCUUAGCUUAUUAUAUGAGAAAUUUAAAGUCGGCAACUUCUUUAUUGUGGAGGAGGGUGAGCUCACAGUCUUUGCUCAAAAUAUCACACAAUAUUUUGAAUCAUGUUUUGUAGAUGUUGAGUUUCACUUCCCAAAGCUACUCCAGGACGUGGACAUGGGACCUAGGAUCACAAGUGACCCCAAGCUAACCCUGCUAGCAUAUCAUAAGCAUACUAAAUAUAAACUGAAGUAAAGAAAUAUUAUGCGGAAGCUAAUCGUAAGAUAAUCUGAAAUAAUGGGAAAUACUUAUACUAGAUCUUACUGUAUAAAUACUGAGAGUUUAACAACAACUGAAAAGUCAAACUCAAAUGCUAAAAUUGAAUCUAACUAUGUCUGAAAUAAGCCUCUAACUGAAUAGAAGUGCUGAGACAUGCCCCAGCUAAAUCUAGCAAAAACUGAAACUAAAGACUCAAAAUAGAAAAGAAACAUGUGUGUCGUCCUCGGAGAAUGAGGAUUCACCACUGAUGUUGUUUAACUGAAGAUCGAGAACCGAUCUAUGCGUGAUUUGAAAGCUGAUGACCUGAACCUACAUCACGAGUAGAUGUAGCGCAGAGUAUGUGUCAGUACUUGAUUGGGAGGCCAAGGGCCAAUGAGAUGUCCCAAUAUCCUUAUGUCCCAUUCUAUUUCUCCUCUAGCCAAAGAUGAUAAGUCCUCCUUGACUCAUUUCUUGAUCUUGGAGUCUUGAAUGUUAUGUGUGUCCUAUAAUUUCUUUGUCCCAUAGAGUUACUUUUGUUAACCUUGGUAGGGUUUGGAUGCAUGAUUAUUCGACCUCUAUUGGUUUUAGAAUCCGGUAAGGUUAUAAUGAGUCUUGAUAAUGCCUUGAGUUUGUUGAAAUGAGUAGUAUUUGAGGUUCUUUGUAAAAAGGGGCUUACUCCCAAGGGGGAGAUCAUGUGCUUGAAAAGCAACAUUGAUUGAAAGUCCCGAUAUCCUCAUCUUUUCUUCUAUUCCUAUUCUAGCUUGAGACCAAUAGUCCUUUUUUGGGCUUGUUCUAUAUCUAGGGGUCAUGAAUGUUUUAGAAAUUUCCAUGAGCUCCUUAUGUUUUGCAUGUUUUUGAAAGAUUCUUACUUUGUAUAAAAUGGAUUUUUCAUGAUUUACAUAUUCCUCAUGUUGUUGUGCAUUCUAGUAUGGUGAUGACAUAUUUGACUUCAUGAGAUGGUGUGAUGAACAUGCUUUGUUUUGUCCUUGAUGAAAUGGCACUUGGGCUCCAUGUUGAUUGUGUUGAGAUUGCUUUUAAUGAGAAAAUGUAAUUCUUCCUAUGAUUUUGGGAUUAAUGAUGUUUAGAAGUGAUUGUGUAGGCUCACUCCUAAGGGGGGAGAUGGUAUGCCUAGCUAAUAUUGUUGUUAUGUGCUUAUAUGUUGUCAUGACUUCUUUAUAUAAUGCAUGUUCAUGAAAAUUUGUGUUUUGGAGGAAAAUGAGUCCAUGUGAAUUGUUUCCCUCAUGUUGUGGUGCCUUGAGUAAGGGUUGCCUAUUGUACUUCAUGAGAAGAAUAAAUGAACAUGUCUUAGUUAAGAGUUGAGGAAUUCCUCAUUGAAUGAAAUGCUUCUUGAAAAUACAUUGCACAUGAGCUCCAUGAGAGUAUGUUAGACAUGCUUUAAUUAGGAGAUGGCAGUUCCUCCUUGAACAUGACAAGCUGUGAGAAUAUCUUACAUAAAAAGCUUCUUUAGAUAUAGUUCAUACUUCCUUGUAUUGCUUUGAUCAUAUUGAAUUGGAGUCGAUGUUACCACCUUUGAACAAGUGCGCAUUGUGAAUAGUGGAUUUUGAGUUGUGCAUUAUUGUGAUGUUUCAUGCAUGUUUGGGCUGCUAGUCUUGAGUCUUUAAUUCCAAAAAUUGUUUCAAGUGUCAUUCGAGGACGAAUGUUCCUAAGGGGGGAUAAUGUAACACCCCGCAAAAACUAGUAAGACCUAGCUAAUGCUUGACGGAAUCUAGUAGGUCAAACUAGAGCCUCACAUGUGAGUUUGAAGUUGGUAACUUGAUUAAAUGUUGUUAAAUGGUUCCCGAGUGAAGUUCAAGGAAUUUAGGGGUUAAACAUCACGAUACGACUAUAACACCCGGAAACUAGUAAGUUGAACUAUUGUGUUAUAGGGUCUUGUAGUGGAGUUUUGGAGUGUUGUAUGAGGGUUAAAACUCAUAUAAGUGACUCUCGUGCUUAGAAUGACAUGUUUAGGGGUUAAACAUCCGGGUACGACUCCCCAAGGACCACCCAAGGGGUUCUUGAGGAGGACCCCAACACUGCCCCAAAAGCUGUCAAAAACAGCUUGGUUCACGGAGGCAGAUCACGCCCCUUAGACCAGUCCACGCCCCAUAGGUCAUGAGCAUGGGUUAGGACUUAGUCUAGGAAGGCUUGGCCUUCAAUUUUGAGCCCCAGCCCCAAACCAAGGGGCCAAUAGACCCAUCCAUGGUCCGUGGAUGGGUGGGCGUGAAUGGGAGCAGUUUUCUAGAUUUUUGCUUUAAGUUAGGGGUCUUAGUUUUAGCUAGUUAUUUAAUUAGGGGUUAAGAGGGACGAUUAGGUAACUAAUUAACUUCCUAUAAAAACUAUUUUAAGUCAUUAAAACACUUCAUUAACUCAUUAUAACCCAAGAUCCCAAAUCAAAACCCAACUACUCUUCUCUCCCAAAAUCUUCUCUCUAGAACCCCAAUUGAAGAACCAAGAAGGAAAUCAAGUUAGAGCUUGAAGAAGGAAGUUUUUCACUAUGAAUUUGGAAGGAUUCUACACCUAUGGUAUUGGAGUUCUUCAUUCUUGGUUAGCUAUCACCAAGAAGCCCCUUCAACUAUGUUUUCAAAUUCCCCAAAUCUAGGUUUCCAAAUCUAGUCAUGGGUGGGUCUUCUUCCAAAACAAAUUCAAUUGUUUAAUUAAGGUUUAUUACGAUUGAUUUUGAUGAUUUAUGAUUGGAUUAAUGGAGUAUUGAUGGAUUUUGGUGAAAAUCUCCUUUGGACCCAUGAUUUUCCUUUCUUCCUAAAUUGUGAACUAAGGUGUGACUUGAUUGAUCAUGGAGACUUAACAAUUGAUUAUGUUUAUGUUUAUUAUGUUGUUGAAUCAUGAUCUCUCUCUAUAUAACAUGGUCAUUCUAGUAAGUUAGGGUUGAUGUUAGCCUUGAAAGGCAAUUUACUAGGGUUGUAUUUGUUGAUGAAGAUUGUAGAUGAACUUGUUGGUCCACUUGAAAGGUGGAGGUGUUUAAUUAUGAUGUAAUUGCAUGAUCUAAGUGUGAUUUUACAUGUAUACUUGAUUAACCUAAGAUUCUAGGGUUAUGUCAUGAAAGAGGCAAAUUGAGGGUUUGGAUGUGAACCUCUAAGAUUGAAUAACUUCUUGAUGAAUUGCCUUAGACUAGAUCACCUAGACUUGAAUUGGUUUAUGGUAAUGCUUCUAAACAUGAAUUUACUUGAUCAUGAUAUUAUGAUUGGAGGCUAUGUAUUGUGAAGAUGGAAUUGGUAUAAUAUUGAUGUUAGAGACCAUGCUUGUUAUUAUAAUGAUAUCUCUCAUGUUAUAAUGAAAUGUAUGUGAGUUGCCUUAUUGGUUGCAUUCUCCAACUAUUUCAAAGAUGAUAUUCAAAAAUGGCAUGUAGCAUGAUUUCAAAUGACAUGUCUUUUUUCAUGCAUGUUUUAAUGGUUUUGUGCAUGGCUUCCAUACUUAGUACUUUUUGUGCUAACCCCUUCUUUCUACAUUUUCUAUAAGUGUAGGCUUUGGAGAUAUUGGAUUCCAUCCUCGUGGCUUGGUUCAUAGGAGAUCAAGAAGAAAAAGAUUGACGAGUCCUCAUUGUAUUCGAGGGCUAAACCACAUGUCCUCUAUUGUCUUUACAUUUAUGUUUUAGACCUUUGUAAGGGCCGUGACGUAUUUCAAGAGUUUUAUUCCUAGUAUAAUAGAUGGUUUGAGACAUAGUGUCAUAGAUACUCUUUCACUUUAUUAAAUACUUCGAUUGUAAAAAAAAGUUUUAAAUUUUCCGUUAUUUUCCUAUGCUUUAAUGUUCAUGAUAUGCUAAGGGCUUGUAUAAGAGCCUUCGGGGUUAAGUACGCCAUGUUACGACUAGGGGGUGCUCUCGGGUCAUAACAAAAACUACGUAGUUUAGGAAUUAAAUGAUGUAGUUUAGGGGUCCAACGCAUAAAGGAAAGGACCAAAACAACCCUAACUUAAUUCUGGCGAAGCCCAUCCACGGAAGGAACGACCAUCCGUCAUUUGACCUACCGGCCAUUGUUUGGGUCCGUCGGUCAAUUCUGCCCGACAGGGCUUCACUAAAACGAGCAUAACUUUUUACUCGGAGAUAGAAUUUUAGCAAACUCGGUGGCGUUCGAAAGAUGAUUAAAUUAUCUAUCAUUAGAUAGGUCAUGGGCCACCUAAGUCAUUUUGUGCUAAGGGUUAUGUCCAUUUGAAGUUGAUCCAUCAACAAUUUCCCUCUAACUGGCUGCUGACCCUCACCUACGGCUCGUAGGUCCAACCACUGACCGUAUUGGUCGACCGUGGGUAGGAUCAGAGACUAUUAAGACUUGGGCCUUAACGACAGAACCAUACAUAUGGUCUGUGGUCCUACCUACGGUCCGUGGGUGGUUCCGUUGGUACUGACACCAAAUUUUUUGUAAACUAGAAUUUUCUUCGUUUUGAGAUUCGAGGUGUUACACUGAGGUUGGUAUGGAUUGUGAAUACAGUGUUGGUUAUGAUUGUGAAUGGGAUGUUUCUGAGGGUGAGAAAUGUGAUUAUGAGUGGAUGGAGGCUAUUAGCAAGGAAAGUGGAAGAGUAGCAGGUGACAAAUCGGAAAACUUCAAGAAAUUGUAAGUUGGUAUGACAUUUAAGGACAUGAAAAAAGGUAGACAUGUUCUGAAUUAUUAUGCAUUAGCUAACAAAAGGGCUUUGACUAUAAUCAAAGGUGAUACAAAGAGAACUAGAUAUGGUUGUGAUGAGGGGUGUCCCUUUAGGUGUUUGAUUUCAAGAGAUGGCAAAACUGUAGGGUUUAAGAUAAAGACUUUCAUCAAUUAACACAUGUGAGGAGGCCUUUUUUAAUCGUAGAUAUGCUUCAACCACUUUAGCUCAAUACUUCAAGAACAAGCUUCAAAAUAACCCCAAGUAUAAGGUAAAAGAUAUGAGAAGAGAGCUUGAAAAUGAUUUAAAAUUGAAUGCGUGUCAAUUGAUCCAAACUUAAAAUGGCUAAGAGGAUGGCUAUUGAGAAGUUGGAGGGUAGUUUUAUAGAUGACUACAACAAGCUUGAGGCCUAUGCAAUACAAUCCCAAAAGUGAUGUUUUGAUAAAUAUCUCUAAGGAUUCCCUAGCUGAAGGAAAAAUAAUAUUUUUUGAGGAUGUACAUGUGUUUUGAUGCUUAAAAAAGGCUAGAAAUCUGGUUUGAGGGUAUUAAUUGGACUUUAAGGUACAUUCUUGAAAGGCAUAUGUAAGGGUAUGUUAUUGGUUGCACUAGGACCAAAUUCUAUGAACAGUUUCUAUCCACUAGCAUGAGAAAUAGUGAACAAAGAAACAAGCAGGACAAAACAAGCAGAACAUGGUGCUGGUUCAUUGAGUUAUUGAAUGGGUCUUUGGACCUUAAAGAUGAUGCAUGAAUCACAUUCAUUUCAGAUAUGCAAAUAGUAUGAUUCUCAAUUUUUACUUUCUGUUUUUUACUAUAAGAUUCUCAUAUUUGAAUUUCAUGUUCUCAUUUGUUUUGUUUCACUAUUGCAGGGAUUGUUAGAUGCUAUUGACAAAGUGUUGCCCGAAGCUUAACAUAGGUAUUAUAUGAGACAUAUUGAGAGUAACUGGUGCAAAAAAUGGAGGAGUGAUCAAAUGAGGAAGCUUAUGUGGUGGUUUGCUUGGAGCUCAUAUGAUGAAGAGUUCAAGGACCAGUUGAAUAAGUUGGAAAAAUUAUCAAAAGAUGGUGCAAGGGAUUUGGUGAAUUAUCCACCAAAGGCAUGGUGUAAAGCUUAUUUUUAUAUUCACCGUAAGAACAUGAUGGUUGAUAACAACUUCACUGGGUCAUUCAAUACAUGGAUUCUUGAGGCUAGAGCAAAGCCAAUAAUCAAGAUGUUAGAAGACAUAAGAGUACAAGUGAUGAGAUUGCUAGGGAAAAUGAAAAAAAAUUUGAGGACUUAGGUUACUGAUUUCGAUUUGAGAAUGCAUGAAGUUGUACAUUGACUUCAGGGCCAUAACACAUGGUUGUAAGGUGGAAUUCAAUGAAAGAUUGGGGCUAUGAAGUGUCUGUUGGAUAAGAUAGAUGCACUGUCAAUCUAGAGCAAAAAAAUGCACUUGCAGAAUUAGGGAUUUAUUAGGUCUUCCCUGCCCUCGUGCUAUCAAAGCAUUGACACACAAAAAAAAAUAAUCUCAAAACUGAAAUACAUUGAUGGUAUAGCAAGGAGGCUUACAUGUUAUAACCUAUAAAAACAACAAGAUGUAACCUGUUAGAGGUCAGAAGUUUUGGAAAGUUGAUCCUUGAAGUGUAGUGUUGCCUCCUGAUGUAGUGAAACAAAUGGAUAGACCUAAAAUGAAGAGGAAUAUAGAACCAAAUGAAGCAAGAAAAAGAAAAGUUGAAUGGUCUCAGUCCAGAAAGGGCACUCAAAUGACAUGUAGUAACUGUGGUGAACCAAAUCACAAUGUGAGGGGUUGUUACAAGGUAAGCUACAAAAUACUUAUUGGCAAUAUUUCAUGCCUUUUAUUGUAAGCUAAUUGACAAUAUGCUUAAUAAUAAAAAAAUAUAUAUAGGAAAAGUGUACUAAAAAUAAUGCACAUUCAAGGAAGGAAAAAGACCAUGUCUGGAAUAUGAGAACGAGGUUGGUAUACAAAAGUUUACUUAUCGACCACAAACUGCAACACAAGAGUUUGAACCUCCUGAUGUUGGAAAAUGAAUAAGACACACAUCUACGAUCAAUAGUGAUUUGUGAAUCAGAGUUAAGGGGUGAGAAGUUGAAGACAAGAAUUGUUCCAACUGGUACAAGAAAAAUUGAAUUUGCUGGAGAUCACACUGGUGCCUCAAUGCCAACUAAUAUGUCUUAUUCUCCGAUCCAAACAACAUGGAAGGGAAAAGAAGAUGACUUUGCUGGACAUGUGCAAAUGGAGGCAAUAAAGAAAAGAAUCAAGAUGAUGGGGUUAAGGGGAGAGGGCAACCUACACCCGAUGAUGAUUCAUCGUAAUUUAUUUUAUAUGUUAAUUUUUGUGUGAAUGCUCAUGGUUAACCACAGUUGGUUGACAUACAAUAUAGCUAAUAGUAAUUUUUUGGGGCUAGUUCAUGAGGAUUAAGUUAGGUGAAAUUUUUAUAUGCCUUUAUAGAAUGACAUUAAUGACACCUUAUUUUGGUUGUGUUUAUCUUAUUUGUCCUUUUCAAUUUAUGUGGAUUUAUGACAUCAUUGCAGUAUUAUUGAUAUUUUCAAAUUAUUUAUACAAUAUGUGCCAUGCCUCUUAAGUAAUACAGGUUACAAGGCCUAAAGUUAUACAAUAAGAAUGUAAAUUCCAAACUGUAGUUUAUCUUCAAGAAAUAUGGUGGCUUGAGUUCCAAUUUUAUGCCUAUUCUUUUGACUUUGAUUUGGUAAGGCGACAAAGUAGUACAAACGUUGUACCAACAAAGUUAUCUAAUUAAAAUUGAAUUAUCAAAUAUGUUUGCUACAACAUUACAAUUGUUGCUAUAUUGAAAUUAACAUAUCAUAUAAACAAAAAUAUAUACUAGAAUUCAAAAGUCAUGAACCACAUCACACAUGUUUAACGUUUUCUAAGUUAAAGAUUACAAAAUACACAUGACAAAAGGUUAGAAAUUCCUAUUUCAUCACCAAAAAUGUGAUGAAUGCUGCAAAACAACACCGCAACGUAGCUAUCACAAUCAACAUUUUAUAAACAUUUUUCUUAAACUUAUCGAUAUUAACCUCUUCAUUAUCGACAACAGCCUCCUCACUUUUGGUAAUUUCAUCUAGACGUUCACAAUUUUCUUCAAUAUCAGAUGUCAAACACUUUUCAAGAUCAGUCAUCCUCGUCUCCAAAGCUUUCUUUUCACGAUGAAGAUUAUCGUUUUCCUUAUUUAUAUUGUGGAUGAGAUUUGCAACUCUAGGAUGGAGUGUAUCAUCAACCCAUUUCCAAUAAUCACAUUUAUAACCCUGCACAAUUAUGAACUUGAAAUCAACAAUGGCCAAAAAUAUGAAAAUUAAUGAAAUUGUAUGAUAAAUUUACAUUAGACUUAGAAAACUUAUAAAAGCGUCUUCCAGCAUUCGUUGGAGUGAAAACUGUGAAAAUUCUCGUUGCAAUACCACAUUGACAGUUCAUUGUUGACCAACUCGAAACACUCGAGUCCUGACUCAUUUUUUUGAAACUUGAAUGGUGGAAGAUGACUAGAACACUCUUUUUAUUAUCGUGCGAGCUUCUUGAAAUGAAAUCGAUGGGGGUAAUGAGGUUUCUCAAGAACCCUAGAGCCGCGAUUUUGAUGGUAAUAAAGAAGGGACAUGAUAUACGAACAUGUUAAAUGGGUUGAUACCCAGGUCAGAUAAGUUAUUUAAAAGAAGUGUAUUAAUUUAUUUAUUUUUAAUAUAAAUUCCAUGUGUCAAUUUAAAAAGGAUGUGACAAUUCCAUUUGUCAUUUAAAGAAAGGGCAAAUGAGCUGGAUAUUUCCAUCAAACAGCCUAACGUUUAUAAGGCAUAUCUACGCAAAAAGUUGGACGACUGUAACGAUCGGGUUUCAUCGUUAUAUAAAUGCCAACGGGGAAAAAAUUGGGCCCGAAAAAACUUUUUCGUAGUAUUUGGAUUUUCCCAACCUUGUCCAGAUUUAGAGAAAAUCGGAGUCACCAAGGUGUAAGGAAAUCUAGUAACAAUCGGGUGGAGUAAUUAUGGUUUUGAUUGCAUGAGUGGUUAGAUAACUUGUUAAGGAAUCCGUAUGACUUUACGAAAUUAAAUUUGGGUGAGUAGAUCUCCGGGAAUCGAUCUUAGCGUGAAGGGUAUUUUCUGAGCAUUGUGGGUUAGAAGUGUGUUGUGGUGGAAUGGGGAUAUGGAAUUUUUUAAAAUAACUCUCUGUUUCAAAAAUGCCACUUUGGCGCUGGGUUUGGCCGCUCUGGCGGGAUAUGGGGCGUUGUGGCGGGUAUGACGCGACUCAAAAUCGUAGGUGAAAGACGAAGGGCUCACUGUUAAGCGAAAGCCGCUACAGCAGGAUGAGGGCCACUGCAGCGGUCCCGACGCGACUUAAACUCGUUAACAAAUCCCUAAACGACCUCAUUAUGCACUUUUCGACCUUUUGAGCUAAGGAACGACCCCCAGGUGACUCUUACUCGUUUCACACCAUUCUUGAGGCUAAAUGUAAGCUUUUCACUCCCCGAAUAGGUUUUUUGAUCCGUAGAACGUAAUAGAAUGGGUGAAUAUUGAUGAGGAAGGGUUUCGUGAUAAAUUCUAUGGUGGAAACAACCCUAAAUUGGAUGAUUGAGAUCAUGGGUUUGAUCUAGGGUUCAUAGAAUUGUUAUAGUUUCGGGUAAUUAGCAAUUUUUUAUUGAUUCCCAUAAUAUAUUGAUUGUUUGUAGACUAAGAACAAGCGGAAUGAAUCCGGAAAGAGAAGGAUCAAGUUUCUCAAGGUUUCAAGGUUGUUUCGAGGUAGGUGAUGAUUGUGAUUCUAUGUUUGUGUGAGCAUGCUUGUUCUUGCUUCAUUAUGAUACUUGUAUAUGUAUGAAUGUUUCAAUGUUGAUUACACUUGUUGUAAAUGAGAUAGAUGAAAUAUCAUUGCCAUGAAAUCAUGGCUUAAAUAUAUGAUCUUGAUGAUGUACUUGUGUUUAUGAUUGUGGUGUGUGAAUGGGAUCGGAUUGCCACGUUCCGGCAUAAUAUUGGUUCGGAUUGCCACGUUUCGGCAUGCUAACUGUUUGGGUUUGGGUUCCAUGAGAGGACCAAUGAUGUGACGUAAAAUGUGAAAUGCGUUGUUGAUUCUUCAUGUUAAUAAUAUUGUAUAUGUUGAUUUAUAUACAUGUAAUUAUAAUGUUGCUUGACUUGUUUAUGUUGCACUAGUGGGAUAGCCGUGUGAUUCUUCCAGUACAUUGUGGUUGUAUACUGAUACUGCACUUGCUCUUAUUUUGUUGAGUACAGGGCAUCUUCAUGCGACUAUUGACAGACCUCGCUUAGAAGAUCAGUAAUUGUCGCUUCGAAUUCAAGGGUGAGCCAAUUCUUCCGGGCUGCCAUGUGAUUCUCUUUCGUCUAUGUCCAUCAUUUCUGGACUUAGAUAUUUGUUCUAGUUAGUUGAUUAGUUCAUUAGUUAGGGAUAUAUCCCUUCUUGUUUAGACUUGGAUAAUUUGUUUAGAUGUUUUGGAACAUUGAUUUUCAGGUUCUAGGUUGUUUCUUCCGCAUUUGUUUAGUAUAGUUCUUCAGAUUUCUUGUUGAAGUUUAUGAGAACUUCAUUAAUUAGUUAUCUAAUCUGUUUUCGUAGUUUAAAUGCCUUAGUUUUGGUUUAGUUGCUUGUUUUGAGUUGUAGUAAUGGUU